UUAAACGGCCGCGGUAUUCUGACCGUGCAAAGGUAGANNAAUCACUUGCCCUUUGAUUGGGGGCUAGAAUGAAGGAAAUCACGAGACUUCAGCUGUCUCUUUUUUUUGUUUGGAAUUUGCUGUUUUUGUGAAGAAGCAAAGGUGGUAAAAAAAGACAAGAAGACCCUAUUAAGCUUUAUUAAUUAGGCCGUAGGUUUUUUUUUUUAAAACAUAUAAUUAUGGUUUUUUAAUUUGGUUGGGGGGACCAAAAAARAAAARAAUCUUUUUUUAUUCRAAUAAACUGUAUGUUUAAAAAAAAUCCGGGAAUGUUCCGAUUACAAAAACAAGUUACUAUAGGGAUAACAGCGUAAUUUUUUCAAAGAGUUCAUAUUUAAAAAAAAAAUUGCGACCUCGAUGUUGACUUAUUGUCACCUAAAAAGGUGUAGCACCUGAAAAGGUUGGUCUGUUCGACCAUUAAAACAAU
rnacentral:rRNA from 1 species